CCACGUGUUUCAAAAAGAAAAGAAAACAAACACGGCGAAAAAUGCGAAAUAAAGGUUUGCUUUAAACUGUCGCGCGAAUGGAUUUAUGUAGAUACUCGGGAUGCGUGUUUUCCACGAGCGUCUCAUUUUUUUAAUUUAAAAUUCGGCAGUAUUUGUAUUAUGUAUGACGAAUAAUAAUCAGCUAGCGGCAAAUCCGUUUCAUUAUGAGUCUAGUGAACAAACCAUUAUAGUUUUACUAUUAGUUUAGCUAUUAUAAUUAUUACAAUUUUUAAGUCACAUGUUUAAAUUAUGAACGCACGUUUAUAGCGAGUAAAAAAAUGCUCAGAUUUAUUGCGCGAUACUUAGAAUUGCAAAACGUUCGGCCGGCGGCAUUUUAUACGAACAAAUUUUUUGAUAUUUUUAUUUUUGCCGAUUUUCGUGUUACU